CUCCGGCUGGACUAGUUGGUUAUGAUGUCGUAUUGUCAAGCUAUCUGCCAAGCAAUAGUUCGAAGGCCGGGGGUUCGAUUCCCUCGUCGGAGA